AAUCAUUAACCAGGAGAAUAAAAGGAGGCACAAAUCUCACGCUCUCAGUACGAGGAGUAUUUGUAAAAUGUCGAAAACAAUCUAUCUGGUUUUUGUCCUGGUGAUUCUGACCACACUUUUGUGCAACAGCCCAGUCUGUUCACAAAGAGGAUCUGGAAAUGGACAAGCCACAUGUGGUUGCAAAAUCCAUCCUAGGAAAGGUCUACAAUGUGUAAGGAGACCCCAUAAAACUUGGGCUGAAACUGUGCAGUGUAUUUGCAAUAACCGCAAAACUUAUUUAAAUGGUGACUCCAAGAGGCUGUAUCAGAAGUACUGCAACCGAACCAUUUCUACUCCUUUGUGAUCUGAUGGAGGUUUGCAGUUAUCAGCGUAUAUUCAAGUCUAUAAAUACACACUCCACUCCGCAUAAUCACAAAGAUUAUCACUGAUUUUAAAUUUAAGCUUGAUUUUUACAAGAUUGUUUUGUUUGCGUUUUAAAUCAACAAAAUAAAAGUAUGUAAACUAUUGGGACAUGUUUUGCUGUUAUGCUUUUUUGUUUGUUUUGAUGACAGAGAGAUAUGUCAUGUUCUUUAUCUCCACUUGUCAUACUUUGUGUUUGACUACUUUUUUACAUUCACAAUAAAUCUUUUUAUCU